UAAAAAUAAAUCACCGCCUCCGUCUAGGUACAUAAGGUGAUAGCAAUCUCAAACAAAACAAGGAUAAAUAGCUACAAACAAUAAGGAUAACUAGCUUUAACCUACCAAGAUUGGAUUUGACCAGCAACAAGCAGAGAGGCAAUGAAAGGUUGAGUACUUCAACUCAAUCUGCGAAUGAUCCCAUAACUACACAAGAGGUUGGAGGCCUAGAGAAAAAUUAGGAGAUCCCAAAAGGAUCUCUUGCAUGCUCAAAAAGCAUUUGCAAGGAACAAAAGUGUGUAGGGUAUUCAAUAGCUUGAUUGCAAAACCAUAUGGGUUUAUUAAUUGAUCAAAAGUUGUUUGCUGGUGGUACAUAGUGAUAUUUAUAAAAGUUUCUAGCUGGAUAUGAACAUAAAUCACCAUGUUGGAUGGUCAACUGGUUCAAGCAUUUAUUUGUUGUAUUGAAAAGUAGACUUGAUAAACUUUCCAACCAUAUAUACUAUACACCUCAAAAUGUUAUAGGUCGGUACAAACUUCACAAGAAGUGCAAGCACUUAUCAUGUAACUUUAAUUUGAGUCUUAUGCCCAUAACCCUACUUAACUUAGGAAGCAUUCAUGGUGUCCUUUGUGUAAUCCUAUAUUCUCCGAUCCAUAUAAUCCAUUAGAGCAGACUGAUGCAUAGACCUG
rnacentral:lncRNA from 1 species